GACGAACGCUGGCGGCGUGCUCAACACAUGCAAGUCGAACGGAAAGGCCCUGCUUUUGUGGGGUGCUCGAGUGGCGAACGGGUGAGUAACACGUGAGUAACCUGCCCUUGACUUUGGGAUAACUUCAGGAAACUGGGGCUAAUACCGGAUAGGAGCUCCUGCUGCAUGGUGGGGGUUGGAAAGUUUCGGCGGUUGGGGAUGGACUCGCGGCUUAUCAGCUUGUUGGUGGGGUAGUGGCUUACCAAGGCUUUGACGGGUAGCCGGCCUGAGAGGGUGACCGGCCACAUUGGGACUGAGAUACGGCCCAGACUCCUACGGGAGGCAGCAGUGGGGAAUAUUGCACAAUGGGCGGAAGCCUGAUGCAGCAACGCCGCGUGCGGGAUAACGGCCUUCGGGUUGUAAACCGCUUUCGCCUGUGACGAAGCGUGAGUGACGGUAAUGGGUAAAGAAGCACCGGCUAACUACGUG
rnacentral:rRNA from 1 species